rnacentral:rRNA from 1 species
CCUACGGGAGGCAGCAGUAGGGAAUAUUGCUCAAUGGGGGAAACCCUGAAGCAGCAACGCCGCGUGGAGGAUGAAGGUUUUAGGAUUGUAAACUCCUUUUGUGAGAGAAGAUAAUGACGGUAUCUCACGAAUAAGCACCGGCUAACUCCGUGCCAGCAGCCGCGGUAAUACGGAGGGUGCAAGCGUUACUCGGAAUCACUGGGCGUAAAGAGUGCGCAGGCGGGCUUGUAAGUCAGAUGUGAAAUCCUGUAGCUUAACUACAGAACUGCAUUUGAAACUAUGGGUCUAGAGUGUGGGAGAGGUAGGUGGAAUUCUUGGUGUAGGGGUAAAAUGCGUAGAUAUCAAGAGGAAUACUCAUUGCGAAGGCGACCUACUGGAACAUUACUGACGCUCAUGCACGAAAGCGUGGGGAGCAAACAGGAUUAGAUACCCCAGUAGUC